AGUGAACGCUGACGGUAGGCCUAACACAUGCAAGUCGAACGGCAGCACAGUAAGAGCUUGCUCUUACGGGUGGCGAGUGGCGGACGGGUGAGGAAUACAUCGGAAUCUACUUUUUCGUGGGGGAUAACGUAGGGAAACUUACGCUAAUACCGCAUACGACCUACGGGUGAAAGCAGGGGAUCUUCGGACCUUGCGCGAUUGAAUGAGCCGAUGUCGGAUUAGCUAGUUGGCGGGGUAAAGGCCCACCAAGGCGACGAUCCGUAGCUGGUCUGAGAGGAUGAUCAGCCACCUGGGAACUGAGACACGGUCCUGACUCCUACGGGAGGCAGCAGUGGGGAAUAUUGGACAAUGGGCGCAAGCCUGAUCCAGCCAUACCGCGUGGGUGAAGAAGGCCUUCGGGUUGUAAAGCCCUUUUGUUGGGAAAGAAAAGCAGCAGGUUAAUACCCCGCUGUUCUGACGGUACCCAAAGAAUAAGCACCGGCUAACUUCGUG
rnacentral:rRNA from 1 species